UCGGGAUCGCAGGCUCCCGGUGCUCCCAAGACGGUGUCCCGUCCAAGCGCUGC
rnacentral:ncRNA from 1 species